CGAACGGGUGAGUAAUGCGUGACCAACCUGCCCCAUGCUCCAGAAUAGCUCUUGGAAACGGGUGGUAAUGCUGGAUGCUCCAACUUGACGCAUGUCUUGUUGGGAAAGUGUUUAGUGGCAUGGGAUGGGGUCGCGUCCUAUCAGCUUGUAGGCGGGGUAAUGGCCCACCUAGGCUUCGACGGGUAGCCGGCCUGAGAGGGCGGACGGCCACAUUGGGACUGAGAUACGGCCCAGACUCCUACGGGAGGCAGCAAU
rnacentral:rRNA from 1 species